GGCCCUAUGGGGCGCAGCAGGCGAGAAACCUUUGCAAUGUGCGCAAGCACGACAAGGUUAAUCCGAGUGUUUCCUGUUAAAGGAAUCUUUUGUUAGUUCUAAAACCACUGAUGAAUAAGGGGUGGGCAAGUUCUGGUGUCAGCCGCCGCGGUAAAACCAGCACCUCAAGUGGUCAGGAUGAUUAUUGGGCCUAAAGCAUCCGUAGCCUGUUCUGUAAGUUUCCGGUUAAAUCCAUUAGCUCAACUAAUGGGCUGCCGAAAAUACUGCAGAACUAGGGAGUGGGAGAGGUAGACGGUACUCGGUAGGAAGGGGUAAAAUCCUUUGAUCUAUUGAUGACCACCUGUGGCGAAGGCGGUCUACCAGAACACGUUCGACGGUGAGGGAUGAAAGCUGGGGGAGCAAACCGGAUUAGAUACCCGGGUAGUCCCAGCUGUAAACGAUGCAGACUCGGUGAUGCGCUGGCUUGUGGCCAGUGCAGUGCCGCAGGGAAGCCGUUAAGUUUGCCGCCUGGGAAGUACGUACGCAAGUAUGAAACUUAAAGGAAUUGGCGGGGGAGCAC
rnacentral:rRNA from 1 species